AUUGUAAAACUCAGAAGUAUAAUAUCCUUGGCACUAAGAAAAUUCUACCUUUCCACGAUGUAAGAAAAUGAACAGUUUGAGCAAUUUGUGAUUGUGGUAUCUCCCCUGCCAGAUAGGAUCUCGCUGAUGCCCUGGAUACUGCCACAAGGGAUUCGCGUGGGCUGGAGUGCAGUAGCACCAUCACAGCUCACUGCAGCUGCAGGAUCACAGUUCAUUGCCCCUUCAACUUCCUGGCCUCAAGCCAUCCUUCUGCCUUGGCCUCCUGAGUAGCUUGGACUACUGGUGCUAGCCACCAUGCCCAGGAGGAUGAAAUUUAACCACAUCAAAGAAACCUACAGCUCUGAUACUCUCAGAAAAAAUAAGACUCAACACAAAGAGAGUAAAAAGAGUUAUUCUGUCAACGAAGGGUCUUGACCGAAUAAUGUAUACAUCAGAUCUUUUCAUCUUGCACUUCUUGGACACUGUGAUUCAAAAGGGAGAUUAUUUGUGUCAGUAAAGAAGUAUCCAUAAUGAUAAAACACAAGUACUUCAAAGAACAACCUGUGCUUCUCAAAAGGAAAAUAGUUUGGAUCCAUUUACUUUUCUCCUCUACUUCACAUUCUAAAUGACUGAGAAAAUGUCUUCUCGUUUUCAAUACAACCCAUGGGAAAUCAUACUCAAAUAAGUAGUAACUGAAUGAACUAAUCUGGAAAAGUGGUCCUCAAUUUGUUUCUGUAAUAUCAGCUAUCACAAUACUGCCUUGAUAUUUCAUACAAUUCUGCAGAGUAUAAAAAAGCAAAAGCCUCUAAAAGUUGGUACUAGAAUGUACUACACGCUCAAUAUAGACCACAAAAUGGAUCAGACAUGAAGCUUAGUAUUGUCUGUGUGCACAGUGUUUAAAUAUUCCCUUGUUUUAAAAGUGCCAGUGUUUGUUAAGUAACUUAAAAUAUUUGCCACAUGUAGCUUAUUUUUUUUACUUUUUAUUAUAUUUUUGUCAUAGGUAAAAAAGUGAAAAGAUUUAUGACAGUCAUUUUUUUAAAACUAAGUUAAGCUAUAUAAAUUGUUGUGAAAUAAAAUACAUUUUAAUUAUAUACAAUAAAGAUCCUAAUUUUAAUUUGCAAGUAUUUUCAAGAUUACAAGUAACGUUAUCAAUUGUUUUACUUAUAACAAUAUUCCUAGGGUGUCUACAUUUAAUAAUUCUAAGUUUUUAAAACAAUUUUAAACUAUUUCAUUUAACAGACAAUACAAACUAACUAAGAUAAAUUGAGAAAUAUAAAUAUCCCUCACCUGUGUUUUUAAAAUUAGAGACAACUUUUGUAUCAUUCCAGAUAUAAUUUAUACCUAUAUAAAUGUGUUUAUUUUAAAUGUGCCAUUUAAAAGAACUGGUUUAUGCUUUGAAAUGGCUGCAUAAUAUUCUACUCUACCUAGAUACCAUUAAAUAUUGAAUCAGCUCUCUAUUGUGUGUUUUUUGCUGUUGUUACUGACAGAUUUUGUAAUUACAAUGCAGAUUAAAAACUUGUUUUAAAAAAUGUGAUUUUGCUCAUAGACAUAUGUCUUUAGAAUACAUUCGUCAUAGUACAAUUGCUGAGACAAAGAGUUUACGCAUUUGGAAAUUUUAUAAAUAUUAUCACAUUGCUUUCUAUCAAUAUCAUCUCACAAGUAUAAUGACAAGUGAAAGAUACUAGGUAUGAACAUUUAUGUAGUAUUCAAAAGCAGAUAAGUUUAUUACCCUGUCAGAAGAUAGCAAAAUGAUUAACUUUAUGAAGGUUUCAAGCACUUAGUUUGAGGGAAGGCAGGAUAGGCAGUUUCAUGAGAAAGGUAUGUCCCAUCUCUUGAUCAGGGUGAAGUUUAAAUGGAGUUGUUUCCUUGAUGAUGCAUCAAAGUCACCACUUGAAAUUUGAUUACUUUUUAAUAUAUGCUAUACUUCAAAAUGUUUAUUAACAUGCAAAUCAUAUAAUGAAUUCCAUUAAUUUAGUGAGAGAAAUUUUUUUUAUAUGCUUCGAAGUCAUUUGUUUUGUUGUUUGCGUUUACUCAGAACAGUGUGUCAAUCUCCUUGACUGAUAUUUCUAUUGUUUCUAGCAGGUCAUUUAAUAGUUUAUAAUGUUUAUAUUUUCAAAGUUUAUUGGGGUGUAAUUUAUUUAUAAUACUGUACAUAUUUAAAGUUCAAAAUAAGUUAAGCCUUAACAUGUAUAUACAGCCAUGAACACAUAACCAUAAAGUAGGUCCUAAAUAUAUUCACCACUCACAAAUGUUUCCUUGUGAACCUUUGUCAUUCCACCCGCCCUUACUUCUUCCGCAUAAUCUCCAUCUAUAGCAACUACCAAUCUAUUUUCUGUUAUUAUAAAUUAAUGUGCAUUUUCUGGAAUUUUAUAUAAAUGGAAUCAUAUCAUAUGUACUUUGUUUUGUCUUGUUUUUUCAGUAAAAUUAUUUUGAGAUUCAUACAUGUUGUUACAUGUAUCAAUAGUUCAUUACUUUUUAUUGUUGAGUAGUAUUUCAUCAUAUGGAUAUGCCACAAUGUGUUCACACCUUAACAUAAAUUUGUCAAUGUAGUUUCCAGUCAUUGGUUAUUAAAUAUAAAGUUUCUUGAAAACUGAUCUAUAAGUAUUGAUAUGGAAUGUGAUUUCUUUUCUCUUGGGUAAAUUCCUGGAAGAAAAUUGGUUCUAUCAAAUGGUGUUUGCAUGUUUAACAGUUAUAGCCAAACCAUUUUCCAAAGUGGUUGUAAUAUUUUACAUUCCUCACAGCAGUGUAUGAGAAAUCAAAUUGUUCCAAAAGUUUGCUAAGACUUGUACAUUUAGAUGUAUCACCAAUUUUGGGUAAAUUUUUGUACUAAUUGUGAGUUGCAAUUGAGGUUCACUUUUUUAUAUGGAUACUCCUUUUUUUACACAAUACAUGUUGAAAGCAUCACCUUGUAUUAAUUGAACUGCCUUUGCAUCUUAUUAAAAUCAGUUUCAAUAUAUGUGAGGUUCUAUUUCUGAACUCUAUUCUCUGUUACAUUGAUUUAUGUGAACACUUUUUCACUGAAGCCACACUAUUUUGAGAACUGUAGUCUUGAAAUUGAGUAUUGGUAAUCCUCUAAAUGUGUUUGUUUUUAUAAAAAUUGUUUUGGCUAUUUAGAUCACUUUGCCAUUCAAAUAAAAUUUAAAAUCUGCUUGUUGAUAGCUACAGAAAAGUUACUGGCAUUUUAACUAGGAAUACAUUAAACUUAUAGAUAAGAUUGAGGAGAAUUGCCAUUUUAUUCUUCCAAUUAAUGGCUAUAUUACAUG
rnacentral:lncRNA from 10 species